rnacentral:misc_RNA from 1 species
GAUGAAGAACGUAGCGAAAUGCGAUAAGUAAUGCGAAUUGCAGAAUUCCAGUGAGUCAUCGAAUCUUUGAACGCACAUUGCGCCCAUUGGUAUUCCGAGGGGCAUGCCUGUUCGAGCGUCAUUAUAACCCCUCAAGCUCAGCUUGGUGUUGGGGCCUGCUGCACUGGCAGCCCUUAAAAUCAGUGGCGGCGCCAUCUGGCUCUAAGCGUAGUAAUUCUUCUCGCUAUGGAGUCCUGGUGGAUGCUUGCCAUCAACCCCCAAUUUUUCUAUGGUUGACCUCGGAUCAGGUAGGGAUACCCGCUGAACUUAAGCAUAUCAAUAAGCGGAGGA